rnacentral:lncRNA from 1 species
AGUCCUUACAGAUCUAGAGUAUUUAAAAUUUCUAAAAAAUAAAUUUCGUAAUUUUUCGAAAUCAUAAUAAUGUUCAUCAAGCGGGUAUAAAAUGAACGGUCAAAAUCGAAUGAUGUCUUAAGAAUGGAUGAUCGGAUCCUCCAAUUUAAGAUCGAGGUUAUUGAUCUUUAUCUAUGUAGUGAAUAAAAUAUUCUAUAAAAAAAUUUAACCGAUUUCGAUUCUUUUACACUGUUAAAUUAGCAAAUACCCCAUAUCGGCCUUUAAAAAUUGUCAAUUUUGUGACCUUUUGAUUGUAAGGUAAAUGACGUUGAAAAAUUAUAAAAUUUGAUUUCUAAACAUUUUAAAUGCUCUAGAUAACGUUUAACGGUGUGGAUCGUCGAUUCGUAAGCUCUAUCAU